GACGAACGCUGGCGGCGUGCCUAAUACAUGCAAGUGGGACGCAAGGGAACACACUGUGCUUGCACACCGUGUUUUCUUGAGUCGCGAACGGGUGAGUAACGCGUAGGCAACCUGCCUAUUAGCGGGGGAUAACUAUUGGAAACGAUAGCUAAUACCGCAUAAUAUUAAUUAUUGCAUGAUAAUUGAUUGAAAGAUGCAAGCGCAUCACUAGUAGAUGGACCUGCGUUGUAUUAGCUAGUUGGUAAGGUAAGAGCUUACCAAGGCGACGAUACAUAGCCGACCUGAGAGGGUGAUCGGCCACACUGGGACUGAGACACGGCCCAGACUCCUACGGGAGGCAGCAGUAGGGAAUCUUCGGCAAUGGACGAAAGUCUGACCGAGCAACGCCGCGUGAGUGAAGAAGGUUUUCGGAUCGUAAAGCUCUGUUGUAAGUCAAGAACGUGUGUGAGAGUGGAAAGUUCACACAGUGACG
rnacentral:rRNA from 1 species